rnacentral:rRNA from 1 species
ACGCACGCUGGCGGCAUGCCUAACACAUGCCAGUCGCACGAGACCUUCGGGUCUAGUGGCGCACGGGUGCGUAACGCGUGGGAACCUGCCCUUAGGUUCGGAAUAACUCCCCGAAAGGGGUGCUAAUACCGGAUAAUGUCUUCGGACCAAAGAUUUAUCGCCUUUGGAUGGGCCCGCGUUGGAUUAGCUAGUUGGCAGGGUAAAAGCCUACCAAGGCGACGAUCCAUAGCUGGUCUGAGAGGAUGAUCAGCCACACUGGGACUGAGACACGGCCCAGACUCCUACGGGAAGCAGCAGUGGGGAAUAUUGGACAAUGGGCGAAAGCCUGAUCCAGCAAUGCCGCGUGAGUGAUGAAGGCCUUAGGGUUGUAAAGCUCUUUUACCCGGGAUGAUAAUGACAGUACCGGGAGAAUAAGCUCCGGCUAACUCCGUG